AGUGAACGCUGGCGGUAGGCCUAACACAUGCAAGUCGAACGGCAGCACAGUAAGAGCUUGCUCUUACGGGUGGCGAGUGGCGGAUGGGUGAGGAAUACAUCGGAAUCUACUUUUUCGUGGGGGAUAACGUAGGGAAACUUACGCUAAUACCGCAUACGACCUACGGGUGAAAGCAGGGGAUCUUCGGACCUUGCGCGAUUGAUUGAGGCGAUGGGGGAUUAGCUAGUUGGCGGGGUAAAGGCCCACCAAGGCGACGAUCCGUAGCUGGUCUGAGAGGAUGAUGAGGCACACUGGGACUGAGACGCGGUCCAGACUCCUACGGGAGGCAGCAGUGGGGAAUAUUGGACAAUGGGCGCAAGCCUGAUCCAGCCAUACCGCGUGGGUGAAGAAGGCCUUCGGGUUGUAAAGCCCUUUUGUUGGGAAAGAAAAGCAGCAGGUUAAUACCCCGCUGUUCUGACGGUACCCAAAGAAUAAGCACCGGCUAACUUCGUG
rnacentral:rRNA from 1 species